rnacentral:rRNA from 1 species
GAUGAACGCUGGCGGCGUGCCUAAUACAUGCAAGUCGAGCGAACAGACGAGGAGCUUGCUCCUCUGACGUUAGCGGCGGACGGGUGAGUAACACGUGGAUAACCUACCUAUAAGACUGGGAUAACUUCGGGAAACCGGAGCUAAUACCGGAUAAUAUAUUGAACCGCAUGGUUCAAUAGUGAAAGACGGUUUUGCUGUCACUUAUAGAUGGAUCCGCGCGGCAUUAGCUAGUUGGUAAGGUAACGGCUUACCAAGGCAACGAUGCGUAGCCGACCUGAGAGGUGGAUCGGCCACACUGGAACUGAGACACGGCCCAGACUCCUAGGGGAGGCAGCGGUGGGGAACCUUCCGCAAGGGGCGAAAGCCUGACGGAGCAACGCGGCGGGAGUGAUGAGGGUCUUCGGUUCGUAAACCUUUGUUAUUGGGAAAGAAAAAAUGUGUAAGUAACUAUGAACGUCUUGACGGUACCAAAUCAGAAAGCACGGCUAACUACGUG